rnacentral:lncRNA from 11 species
CAAACCGCAGAAACAAAACGCCGAAAAGGAGGGGGAAGGAGGGGGGAAUAUCCACUUCGCUGCAGAAAAUGUGGGGCAGCGGGGAGAGAGGCUCCAAUCCAGGGUUGGGAAAAAGGCUUCUCUCGGAAGACAGGUGGGAGGUUUCUCUCUUUCUCUGGCAAUUCCCCCUUUAAUAUAGACGUGCUCGCUCUCCUUUCACUGGAGUUCCCUUUCUCUCCCUACCAGGCGGAAACAGGAGGAUUUGGUGUGUGUGCGUGUGUGUGUGGCAGAGACCCCCAACUCUUCCGCCCUUCUUCCUCCUCCUCCUCCUGCUGCUGCUGCUGCUACUCGGCGCCGGCGUGGGCCCUGCCUUGGCUCCGGCUCCGCGGCCCCUCUCUCCCCGACCUGCCCGCGCGGAGUAAAUCCAUUCAAUUAGGGCACCAGGACGGAGCUGGAGGCUCUAUAAUCUCAAAUUUAUGGCCGGAUGACGUGCCUCCCUCUCCCACAAUGGAGACCAGUGACAUUAAACAGAAAAUUGAUGAGAGAGAGGCGAAAUCUAAUCUCUUUUACCCACUUCUUCUGCUGCUGCUGCUGCCGAGCCAUGGCUGUUGCUGCUGCUGCUUUGUGCUCCCCCCCUUUCUUUCCAAGAGAGAGAAAGAGAAGGUGGGGAGGGGAGGGCGAGGAAAGGGCUCUCUCUUUCUCUCUCUGGUCUUUGGCUACGGUGGGUGUGUUGGACUGAGCCUCGCGAGGCGAAUCCGAAGCAUUUACUCCUGGUCCUCUUUUUGCAUUCCUGGAGCAGCUCAGAUGUGUUGCUGUCCUUAGAUGAAGGAGAUCUGGGAUCAAAUCCAUGCACUGAUGUCAAGCUUCCUCAAGAACUACGGGUUCAGAGCUCGGUGUGUUAAGUUUCCAAAAAUCCAGAUGUGACACAUACGGGUUGAAGGCAAAACCAGAGGCUUUAUUCUCAGUGACCAAUGAGGAUGUCAGCACAGAGCGCACUCCAAAAAACUGACAUACCGCAAUUGCCAUACAUAGGUAUAUUUAUUGUAUUUUGACAGCUAUUCAAGAGGACCACACUAGAAAUGGGAUUUAGAAACUUGGUGGGCUUAUAUCAGAAUAUAUAAUUAAUGACUUUAUCAAUCAAAGGAAAAACAAAUAUACAAUUAGCCAAAAAAACCCAAGACUGGUUCAGGAAAUGGUUUGUGCUAAUUGACAAAAUAGAUGGAGACAACAGAUACAGCACCUUGAAACAGGCUUUCUACAUGGUUAAACUGAUGCAAUGACAAUAUUUAGAAUUGCUGUUCUAGGGGGGUGGGGGGAAUGAGGGGAGGGCAGGGGUAGUGGGUGAUACAUAUCUAUGGAACGUUUAAAAUGUCAUUUAAGGAAUAUUUACUUUUGGAAUAAUGUAUAAUGAAAUAAGUCCCAUGUGGCAAAAGUUUGUUAAAAGUCGGGAUGUAUCAAAUAAAAUUUAUAAAAAAAGAAGAAGACCACACUAGCUCCUGAUUGGUCCUGAAGUGUCUGGCUAGGAUCUACUCCAUGUUUGGUCUAGGGCUUCAUCCAGUGUCAUUGCUGAUCAGCUCCACAGUGGUGGGAAACUUGAAUAAAUUGUCAUUGAAUUAUUUAGAAAAGUGUGU